rnacentral:rRNA from 1 species
CAGCCGUAAACAAUGUGCGUUAGGUAUGUCGGUAACCACGUGUUACUGAUGUGCCGAAGAGAAAUCGUGAAACGCACCACCUGGGAAGUACGGUCGCAAGGCUGAAACUUAAAGGAAUUGGCGGGGGAGCACCACAACAGGUGGAGCCUGCGGUUUAAUUGGAUUCAACACCGUAAAACUCACCAGGGAAGACUGUUACAUGAAGGCCGAGAUGAAGACUCUGCUAGAUUUUCAGAGAGGAGGUGCAUGGCGUCAGUGACU